rnacentral:rRNA from 1 species
GAUGAACGCUGGCGGCGUGCCUAAUACAUGCAAGUCGAGCGAAUGGAUUAAAAGCUUGCUCUUAUGAAGUUAGCGGCGGACGGGUGAGUAACACGUGGGUAACCUGCCCAUAAGACUGGGAUAACUCCGGGAAACCGGGGCUAAUACCGGAUAACAUUUUGAACCGCAUGGUUCGAAAUUGAAAGGCGGCUUCGGCUGUCACUUAUGGAUGGACCCGCGUCGCAUUAGCUAGUUGGUGAGGUAACGGCUCACCAAGGCUACGAUGCGUAGCCGACCUGAGAGGGUGAUCGGCCACACUGGGACUGAGACACGGCCCAGACUCCUACGGGAGGCAGCAGUAGGGAAUCUUCCGCAAUGGACGAAAGUCUGACGGAGCAACGCCGCGUGAGUGAUGAAGGCUUUCGGGUCGUAAAACUCUGUUGUUAGGGAAGAACAAGUGCUAGUUGAAUAAGCUGGCACCUUGACGGUACCUAACCAGAAAGCCACGGCUAACUACGUGCCAGCAGCCGCGGUAA